rnacentral:rRNA from 1 species
GCUUGUCUCAAAGAUUAAGCCAUGCAUGUCUAAGUAUAAGCACUUAUACCGUGAAACUGCGAAUGGCUCAUUACAUCAGUUAUAGUUUAUUUGAUAGUCCCCACUACUUGGAUAACCGUAGUAAUUCUAGAGCUAAUACAUGCGUCAAGUCCUGACUGCGCGAGCGGAAAGGAUGUGUUUAUUAGAUACAGAACCAACCCAGGCUCUGCCUGGUUAAUUGGUGAUUCAUGAUAACUGAAUGAAUCGCAUGGUCCGCCGGCGAUAAAUCAUUCAAGUUUCUGACCUAUCAGCUUCCGACGGUAGGGUAUUGGCCUACCGUGGCAAUGACGGGUAACGGAGAAUUAGGGUUCGAUUCCGGAGAGGGAGCCUGAGAAACGGCUACCACAUCUAAGGAAGGCAGCAGG